ACUACGGGAGGCAGCAGUGAGGAAUAUUGGUCAAUGGGCGGAAGCCUGAACCAGCCAAGUCGCGUGAGGGAUUAAGGCCCUGCGGGUCGUAAACCUCUUGUGCCGGGGAGCAGAGGUCCGGACGUGUACGGGCCGGGAGAGUACCCGGAGAAAAAGCAUCUGCUAACUCCGUGCCAGCAGCCGCGGUAAUACGGAGGAUGCGAGCGUUAUCCGGAUUUAUUGGGUUUGAAGGGUGCGUAGGCGGGCAUUUAAGCCGGAGGUCAAAUGUCGGUGCUCAACCCCGGCCUGCCGUCGGCACUGGGUGCCUUGAGUGGGCGAGAAGUAUGCGGAAUGCGUGGUGUAGCGGUGAAAUGCAUAGAUAUCACGCAGAACCCCGAUUGCGAAGGCAGCAUACCGGCGCCCUACUGACGCUGAGGCACGAAAGUGCGGGUAUCGAACAGGAUUAGAUACCCGGGUAGUC
rnacentral:rRNA from 1 species